CAGAAAGUAGUUUAUCUGAAAACACCGGCUUUGGGAGCCGGAGAAGGAGGUUGAAGUCCUUUUUUUCUGA
rnacentral:tRNA from 1 species